rnacentral:rRNA from 1 species
UACGUAGGGUGCAAGCGUUGUCCGGAAUUAUUGGGCGUAAAGAGCUCGUAGGCGGUUUGUCGCGUCUGCUGUGAAAACCCGAGGCUCAACCUCGGGCCUGCAGUGGGUACGGGCAGACUAGAGUGCGGUAGGGGAGAUUGGAAUUCCUGGUGUAGCGGUGGAAUGCGCAGAUAUCAGGAGGAACACCAAUGGCGAAGGCAGAUCUCUGGGCCGUAACUGACGCUGAGGAGCGAAGGCGUGGGGAGCGAACAGG